rnacentral:lncRNA from 10 species
AGCUCAGGGGCUGCCUUUGCUCACUAGAAGCAGGGAGCUCUCUUCUCCAUGCUAGCCUUUCCUUAAAAUAGUUAUUUUUGUUUAUCAUUUCUACUUUCGUCCCUUUGUUCAGCCCUGUAAUGACAGUCUCAAGGAGUAACAGUAGUAACUGCUGUGAUGGUCUGAAGUAGCAACCGUGGGAGUUGGCCACACAGGUUCAUCAGUUUUAUUCAUAUUAGCUAAAGUGGAAACAACCCAAUGCCCAUCAGCGGAAUAGAUACAUUCAUCAUGGUAUAUUCAUAAAAUGAUAUACUACAUGGCAAUCAAUAGAACAAACUACUGAAAUAAGCAACAAUGUGGAUGACUCUCAGAGAUAUUAAGUGAGUGAAAGAAGCCAAAUUUAAAAGAGUACAUACUGUAUGACUUCACUCAUACAUAGUUCAAAAAUAGGUAAAACUACUCGAUGAUAGAAGUUGGAAUAAUGAUUACUUAGCCAUGGAGUUAGGAUACAGACUGAGAAGCAGCAAGAGGAAACUUUUUUAGGUGAUGGGAAUUUUCUAUAUCUUGAUUUGUGUGGUGAUGACAUAAGUGAAUACACAUGCAAUAAUUCAUGAAGUUAUUAGGAUUGGUGCUUUGGGUGUAUGUGUAUUAUCCCUCUAGAAACAUUAAAAAAAAUUACUGAGGGUUCUAGUCACAAGAAACUUAUUAGGUAAGCAACGAACAGUAUUUGUGAUACCCACUCCUGGGGGGCCUGAGAACUCAGGAUCUUAGUCUUCCUAUACUAUCUACCUGCAGUGCCUGUCUCACUGACCCUAUGAAGGAGAAGGAUCUGCAGAGCACAUUCUCAGGACAUCUACCCAUGAGGCUGGUGGGACUCUUGUGAUUGCUACUUGAAUUGGAAUAAUCGGAACGGACACAUGUAAAAGGAAUGCAGAAGGACCAGACAGAUCUCUUCAAAUGUAAACCUAUGACUUAAAAUUCAGUUUCAUGAGCACUGUGGGAGACCUGAGUUUUUAACAGCUGGAGCCAAUAGUGAAGAUAGAUCUGGAAAUUUAAUUAUCCAUGAGUCCUGAGCCACCUUGUAGGAAGUCCAGUUAUCCUAAAGUCAGACUGCUGGAGAGACCAUGUGCAAACACUCCAUAGAAAUGGAGUUGUCCAAGGAGCCAGUUGUUCCAGCCCCCAGCUGAUUGAGUCUUCCUAGCCUGGCAGCAGACAUAAUCUCACUGUUAUUACCCAGGCUGGAUUACAGUGGUGUGAUCACAGCUCACUGCAGCCUCCACCUCUUGGGCUCAAGCAAUCCUCCCACCUCAGCCUCCUACGUAGCUGGGAUCACAGGCAAGUGCCACCAUGCCCAGCUAAUCUUUUGAUUUUCUGUAGAUAUGGGGUCCCCCCAUGUUGCCCAGGCUGGUCUUGAACUCCUGGGCACAUGUGAUCUCCCCACCUCAGCCCCGCAAAGUGUUGGGGUUACAGGCAUGAGCCAUCAUGCCUGGCCCAUAAUAAUUAUAAAGAGAGAGAUGAAUGAAGAUAGGAAUAAGUAAAUUACCCUUGUGAGACCUCAGCAAAUUAUAGGCCUCCCACAGGUCUGGUUUAAUGAUUUAUUCAUUUACUUUUAAAUGUGGACUA